GACGAACGCUGGCGGCGUGCCUAAUACAUGCAAGUCGAGCGGACGAAUCGAAAGCUUGCUUUUGAUUCGUUAGCGGCGGACGGGUGAGUAACACGUGGGCAACCUGCCCUGUAGACGGGGAUAACACCGAGAAAUCGGUGCUAAUACCGGAUAACACGAAAUGUCGCAUGACGUUUCGUUGAAAGACGGCGCAAGCUGUCGCUACAGGAUGGGCCCGCGGCGCAUUAGCUAGUUGGUGAGGUAACGGCUCACCAAGGCGACGAUGCGUAGCCGACCUGAGAGGGUGAUCGGCCACACUGGGACUGAGACACGGCCCAAACUCCUACGGGAGGCAGCAGUAGGGAAUCUUCCGCAAUGGACGAAAGUCUGACGGAGCAACGCCGCGUGAGCAAAAAAGGCCUUCGGGUCGUAAGGCUCUGUUGUUAGGGAAGAACAAGUAACGCAGUAACUGGCGUUACCGUGACGGUACCUAACGAAAAAGCCACGGUUAACUACUUGCCAGCAGCCGCGGUAAUACGUAGGUGGCAAGCGUUGUCCGGAAUUAUGGGGCGAAAACCGCGCGCGGGCUGUUCUUUAUUUCUGAUGUAAAACCCCACGGCUCCCCGGGGGGGGGUUUGGAAACUGGGGGACUUAGUGUGCAAAAGAGGAAAGCGAAUUCCCCGUGUCGGGGAGAAGCGUAAAGAUAUGUGAGGGAAACCCAGGGGAAGGGGGGUCUCUGGGCUGUAACUGACGCUUAAGCGCGAAACGUGGGGGAGCAAACAGG
rnacentral:rRNA from 1 species